rnacentral:misc_RNA from 1 species
GAAGUGCGAUAAGCAAUGCGAAUUGCAGAAUUCCGCGAAUCAUCAGAUCUUUGAACGCAAAUGGCGCUGGAGGGAUAUCCUUCCAGCAUGUCUGUUUCAGUGUCUGAGAGGUUUCAUACUAAUCUUAAUGUGAUUGAAGGGUCGAUAUUGAUGAUGAUGAUGAUGUUGAGGUACUCGUACUUCUCUGUCUCUCUCAUUUUGUCAGCUCUUCUCUCAUGAAAGAUGCGUGAGUGGAUCUUUCGGUCCAAUGAAGUGGUCACAUCACUCGCAUGUGAUUUCAUUGGAGAAAUCACCGAAUUAUCCGAAUACUCACAGUAACUACCCAACAAAAAACCUUCCAUACCCUGCAUCUGAGAUAGGCAAGAUCACCCGCUGAACUUAA